rnacentral:rRNA from 1 species
GACGAACGCUGGCGGCGUGCUUAACACAUGCAAGUCGAGCGGUAAGGCCCUUUCGGGGGUACACGAGCGGCGAACGGGUGAGUAACACGUGGGUGACCUGCCCUCAGCUCUGGGAUAAGCCCGGGAAACUGGGUCUAAUACCGGAUAUGACUCCAUGACGCAUGUUGUGGGGUGGAAAGCCUUGUGCGGCUGAGGAUGGGCCCGCGGCCUAUCAGCUUGUUGGUGGGGUGAUGGCCACCAAGGCGACGACGGGUAGCCGGCCUGAGAGGGCGACCGGCCACACUGGGACUGAGAUACGGCCCAGACUCCUACGGGAGGCAGCAGUGGGGAAUCUUGCGCAAUGGGCGAAAGCCUGACGCAGCGACGCCGCGUGAGGGAUGACGGCCUGGU